rnacentral:rRNA from 1 species
CAGUCGCCGCGGGAAUACCGAGGAUGCAAGCGUUAUCCGGAAUGAUUGGGCGUAAAGCGCGCGCAGGUGGUUUAAUAAGUCUGAUGUGAAAGCCCACGGCUCAACCGUGGAGGGUCAUUGGAAACUGUUAAACUUGAGUGCAGGAGAGAAAAGUGGAAUUCCUAGUGUAGCGGUGAAAUGCGUAGAUAUAUGGAGGAACACCGGUGGCGAAAGCGGCUCUCUGGCUUGUAACUGACGCUGAGGCUCGAAAGCGUGGGGAGCAAACAGGAUUAGAUACCCCUGUAGUCCCUGUCUCUUAUAC